GACGAACGCUGGCGGCGUGCUUAACACAUGCAAGUCGAACGGAAAGGCCCCUUUGGGGGUACUCGAGUGGAGAACGGGUGAGUAACACGUGAGUAACCUGCCCUUGACUUCGGGAUAACUUCAGGAAACUGGGGCUAAUACCGGAUAGGAAUCCUUGCUGCAUGGUGGGGGUUGGAAAGCUUCGGCGGUUUUGGAUGGACUCGCGGCUUAUCAGCUUGGUGGUGGGGUAGUGGCUUACCAAGGCUUUGACGGGUAGCCGGCCUGAGAGGGCGACCGGCCACAUUGGGACUGAGAUACGGCCCAGACUCCUACGGGAGGCAGCAGUGGGGAAUAUUGCACAAUGGGCGGAAGCCUGAUGCAGCAACGCCGCGUGCGGGAUGACGGCCUUCGGGUUGUAAACCGCUUUCAGCAGGGGCGAAGCUUGUGGUGACGGUACCUGCAGAAGAAGCACCGGCUAACUACGUG
rnacentral:rRNA from 1 species